rnacentral:rRNA from 1 species
GAUGAACGCUGGCGGCGUGCCUAAUACAUGCAAGUCGAGCGAACAGACGAGGAGCUUGCUCCUCUGACGUUAGCGGCGGACGGGUGAGUAACACGUGGAUAACCUACCUAUAAGACUGGGAUAACUUCGGGAAACCGGAGCUAAUACCGGAUAAUAUAUUGAACCGCAUGGUUCAAUAGUGAAAGACGGUUUUGCUGCCACUUAUAGAUGGAUCCGCGCCGCAUUAGCUAGUUGGUAUGGUAACGGCUUACCAAGGCAACGAUGCGUAGCCGACCUGAGAGGGUGAUCGGCCACACUGGAACUGAGACACGGUCCAGACUCCUACGGGAGGCAGCAGUAGGGAAUCUUCCGCAAUGGGCGAAAGCCUGACGGAGCAACGCCGCGUGAGUGAUGAAGGUCUUCGGAUCGUAAAACUCUGUUAUUAGGGAAGAACAAAUGUGUAAGUAACUAUGCACGUCUUGACGGUACCUAAUCAGAAAGCCACGGCUAACUACGUG